UUUCAGUGUUAGUCAUCUCUUGCUUGCUGGCAAAUAAAGGACUCUUAAUUUGGAACUCAGAGAGUGGCGCUUUCUUUCUAACUCGCUCAGUUACAAGAAGUAAUCUGCUUCCUGGAGGUUUCAGAUUUGAAAAUAAUUUAAUAUUAUCUCAAUCUAUUGGGAAUAAUAUUGGGGUGUCUCUGCCUAGUCCCAUAUAGAUUUCAGUUUAUUCGUGAAGUUCAAUCAUCUUGGUUUUGAUUCCUCAUGCCUAACACCCGAGUCUUUUUCACAUUUUUCAACAAUCCCGGAA
rnacentral:lncRNA from 1 species